rnacentral:tRNA from 1 species
AGCCUUUUUAGCAUAAAAGUAAUGCAACCGUUUUGUAAUCGGUAGAAGUGAGUUCGAUACUCGCAUAAGGCUA